rnacentral:rRNA from 1 species
UGGGAACCUUCCCUAUGGUUCGGAAUAGCUCAGGGAAACUUGGGGUAAUACAGGAUAAGCCCUUACGGGGAAAGAUUUAUCGCCAUUGGAUGGGCCCGCGUCGGAUUAGCUAGUUGGUGAGGUAACGGCUCACCAAGGCGACGAUCCGUAGCUGGUCUGAGAGGAUGGCCAGCCACAUUGGGACUGAGACACGGCCCAGACUCCUACGGGAGCAG